rnacentral:rRNA from 1 species
UACGUAGGGUGCAAGCGUUGUCCGGAAUUAUUGGGCGUAAAGAGCUCGUAGGCGGUCUGUCGCGUCUGCUGUGAAAACUCAGGGCUUAACCCUGAGCUUGCAGUGGGUACGGGCAGACUAGAGUGCGGUAGGGGAGACUGGAAUUCCUGGUGUAGCGGUGAAAUGCGCAGAUAUCAGGAGGAACACCGGUGGCGAAGGCGAUCUGCUGGCCUGUUCUUGACGCUCAGGCGCGAAAGCUAGGGGAGCGACCGGG